ACCCUCUAAGUUUUCUCAUCGGUAAUCAUCACCUGCUCCACCUCCGGUGCACCAUCUUUAUCAGGUACCCAUCGAUGCACGGACCAACCUUUCGCGCUCACCAUCGGCACCAUAUCAUCCAUCAGUAAGCCCUAAAAAUCAUGCCUCUUUAAUCGCUUAUAUUUAAUCGAUUUAGUGUGGAAUUGAAACGACUGACAUAUUUAUGGUUUUUGGGUUGAUAAUUGUAAAACGAAUUUCCAUCUCUCUUAUCACCGGUUAUAGACGCUACCACCGCUUCUCUCACGACCUUCAUGUCCUAUCGACACCGUCUAUAAACCCUAGCCGCCUCCGCUACCAUCUUCUCCAUAUCACACCAGACAAGUCCUACAUUCCCAUCGUCACUAUCAUCGCCACUUCCUCUUAGCUACUUCAGAAAGUCCAAUGCCACCUUGCACCUUCGUACACGAAACCCAUCUUCACCGGCAGCCGCCCCCUUACCAACGAGCACAAACCACCACCAACUCCUUCUCUUCUCGAACCCCUCUUUCUCAUCUAGCUUUUUGUUUUCUUCUGACAGAGUUUUAAUAAUUGAUCUGCAACUACACGCCAUCGCACCACUGUGAUUUGUUGGGCCGUGAUUUUGUUUCUUGCUUUUGCAGACAAUCAAUCUAUUCGUCCUGAUGAAGUGACAUCACUGAAAGCUCUUUGGCAAAUUUCCAUCGAUCCAAACAUUAGGAUUAGGAAAUGGAGGCACGAAGAUCCGUGUGUAUCAAAUCGGAUUGGGUCUUUUGCUUCAACAACAACAUUGAUGAUCAUUAUUUUCAUGUUUUAGAAUGCGAAUGUUGGUUUGCACAAACUAUAAGAUCAAAGGGUUCACUGUACUUUAUUUGGCAGUCAAUUUCAGAACAAUCACCUUGAAGGAAGUUUAUGGUUAAAUCUACUUAAAAUCUCAACAUCUCUCUGUGAUUGUGUAAGGGUGCAUAUGAAUUGGCGGGCUGAUCAAUGACUCUAAAUGUGUCGAAGGAGAAAGAAAAAUGGGACUUUAGGCAUUUGAGGGUAAACCUGAAUGAACACAAAGAGGUUGAUGAAGAAUUCUGGGAAGACGUAACCUGAAUGAUCAAUCACCCAAAGAUUGACUUGCUUCAAUGCAAAAGCUGCAUUAGAUGCGUCGAAGGGUAAACCCAAUGAUACUAGAUAUAAAUUCAAAGGACACUUUAUUACUGAGGUGCAACGGUUGGAGUUAUUUGAUAUGAUAUAGAACAGUGUUGUCAAUAGCGAUCACUAUUGCGAUUAGCGAGGCGAGGCGUUGGUGUGUCGCUAUGGGGUUUAUAGCGAGGAAGUGUUUGAACUUGGAGAUGAGGGGUGUUGAAAAAAGAUAAAAAUCUGGAUGACCUGAUUUGCAGCAGCCAAAGGCUACACGAGCAUGAUAGUGGUUUACCAAAACCUAGAAAAAGCUCAAAUGAAAAUAUACAGGGGCACAACUGUAACCGAUGAAGAUGAGUUGUUUUCAAUGUGGAAGGAGUGCAGUGAUGAUCUGAAAGAUUGUUUAGGAUCUGUUUUACUUCCAAUAGGUAGCCUCUCUGUUGGCCUUUGCAGCGAUCAUGCCCUACCAUUUAAAGGAUGUUGUAGAUUUAUAUUUUAUUUUAUUAUUACAAUAAUAACCUUAAUAUUCUCUCUACUUCACUUCGUAAUAAUAACCUUAAUAUUCUUUCUCUA